UGCGUAGGCGGUUUAUUAAGCCAGAUGUGAAAGCCCCGGGCUUAACCUGGGAACUGCAUUUGAUACUGGUAGACUAGAGUAUGGUAGAGGGGGGUAGAAUUCCUAGUGUAGCGGUGAAAUGCGUAGAUAUUAGGAGGAAUACCAGUGGCGAAGGCGGCCCCCUGGACCAAUACUGACGCUGAGGUACGAAAGCGUGGGUAGCGAACA
rnacentral:rRNA from 1 species